rnacentral:rRNA from 1 species
UACGGGGGGGGGCAAGCGUUGUUCGGAAUUACUGGGCGUAAAGGGCUCGUAGGCGGCCAACUCAGUCGGACGUGAAAUCCCUCGGCUUAACCGGGGAACUGCGUCCGAUACUGGAUGGCUUGAGUGUGGGGAGAGGGAUGCGGGAAUUCCCAGGUGUAGCGGUGAAAGCGUAGAUAUCUGGAGGAACACCGGUGGCGAAGGCGGCAUCCUGGACUACUACUGACGCGAGGAGCGAAAGUCCAGGGGAGC